rnacentral:rRNA from 1 species
CCUACGGGCGGCAGCAGUGGGGAAUAUUGCACAAUGGGCGCAAGCCUGAUGCAGCCAUGCCGCGUGUGUGAAGAAGGCCUUCAGGUUGUAAAGCACUUUCAGCGGGGAGGAAGGCGUUAAGGUUAAUAACCUUGUCGAUUGACGUUACCCGCAGAAGAAGCACCGGCUAACUCCGUGCCAGCAGCCGCGGUAAUACGGAGGGUGCAAGCGUUAAUCGGAAUUACUGGGCGUAAAGCGCACGCAGGCGGUCUGUCAAGUCGGAUGUGAAAUCCCCGGGCUCAACCUGGGAACUGCAUUCGAAACUGGCAGGCUAGAGUCUUGUAGAGGGGGGUAGAAUUCCAGGUGUAGCGGUGAAAUGCGUAGAGAUCUGGAGGAAUACCGGUGGCGAAGGCGGCCCCCUGGACAAAGACUGACGCUCAGGUGCGAAAGCGUGGGAAGCAAACAGGAUUAGAUACCCGAGUAGUC